rnacentral:misc_RNA from 1 species
AACGCACGAGACCUGCGGACCUGCGGAGGGAUCAUUACCGAGCUCGCGCCCCCGGGCCGACCUCCCACCCCUGCGAUCGCUACGACCGUUGCUUUGGCGGGCCACCGCGCCGCGGCCCCCCGGCCGCGGCGGGCCCGCCAGAGGCCCGCAGACUCUCGAUGUCCGCGUCGUCUGAGCGCCAUUAUAAUCGUUAAAACUUUCAGCAACGGAUCUCU